UAAAAAGAAAAUUAAACAAAAGAGGGAUUAGGGUUCGUGUGAGGCCACUGGAUGUUGAAACAAAUCUCUUUCUCCUUCUUCAAACGGCAACGACGCAACCUUCAUCCCUCCGAUUCAAAUCAACGACUACCAUCUUCUUCCGUUUCUGGCGAAAGGUCCGCCAGCUCCCUCCGGUGAGACCUUAUUCUUCUUCUCCGAUCUCUCUUUCUCUGAUGGUGAGCUCGCGACGGGUUUGGUGAUGUUGGUGUUUAACCUUGUCGUUGAAUCUUUGUUCGAUUUGAUGAUGAAAGUUGUGUUGAUGUGUUGCAGGGUUCGUUGAAGACGAACAAUGAAUCUAAUUGUCGGAGCUUUCAAGCCUCCUUGCAAUAUCUCAAUCUCUUUUGCUGAUGGAAGAACACACAAGCAGAGAGCAGAAUGGAUUAAGUUCAUAGGAGCUUUCACAAAUGUUGAAGCUAGAGCCAAUCAAGUCUAUACUACAGUUAAGGAGAACUAUUAGUGCUUGGCCGAAAACGCAAAAUCUCGAACUUCAUUCAAGCCAACUGUAGCUUGGAUGAAAUAUAACAAUGGUGUUUGGUCUUUUACAAAGGAAGCAUAUUAUUUGAAGUAUGUCGAAGAUUCGGGAGACGAGAUUUUGGAUGCUAACAAGAACACUUACAAUGUUUCUGAUCCUGAUGACUUAGAAGAAUUGCAUGCAAUCCUAUGUACUGUGGAAGUAGUGAUUGAUGAAACAUUAACUUCUGAUCCGUUAACUUCUGAAACAUUAAGCCUAUAUAUGGAGAUAUGACAAGCGGAUUCAAACUACGUCUCUUGACUGUUACAAUGGAGCAGUCGCGCAACCUCAAUUGGUAUUAGCUGAUCUUAUUGAAGUUUUAUUUCCAACCGGAAAUUACAACAUCACUUACUUUAGGAACAUUGUUAUAUAAGGCUCGAUUAGCCAACAUUAAACGAGAAGACGAAUCUAUCUUGCGAGAGAAGGAACGUUACGACCUAGAUAAGGGAAACGCAUGCGUGGAUAAUUGAAGAUAAAUUAGAAGUUGAUUUGCGCAUUGUUGGAAAGUCAAUUAUGACCAUCUAGGAGUCACGUUCGACUGGAGAGAACUAGUUUUUUUAGAGA